AUUGAACGCUGGCGGCGUGCUUAACACAUGCAAGUCGAGCGGUAACGCGGGGGCAACCCUGGCGACGAGCGGCGAACGGGUGCGUAAUGCAUGGGAAUCUGCCUGAUAGUGGGGGAAUAACCCGGGGAAACUCGGGCUAAUGCCGCAUACGACCUACGGGUGAAAGCGGGGGACCGUAAGGCCUCGCGCUAUCGGAUGAGCCCAUGUCGGAUUAGCUAGUUGGUAGGGUAACGGCCUACCAAGGCUACGAUCCGUAGCUGGUCUGAGAGGACGGCCAGCCACACUGGGACUGAGACACGGCCCAGACUCCUACGGGAGGCAGCAGUGGGGAAUAUUGGACAAUGGGGGAAACCCUGAUCCAGCGACGCCGCGUGUGUGAAGAAGGCCUGCGGGCUGUAAAGCACUUUCGGUGGGAACGAAAUAUGCCGGGCCAAUACCCCGGCAGGCUGACGUUACCCAAUGAAGAAGCACCGGCUAACUCUGUGCCAGCAGCCGCGGUAAU
rnacentral:rRNA from 1 species